rnacentral:lncRNA from 1 species
GUGAGGAAAGUGUGUCUGUUAAUCAUGGGAAUCCUAAUAUGUCUGUUCCUCUUGCGGAUCCUCCUGCCAGCCAUCACCAUGUUGCACACAUAGAUGGUCACAGCUCUGUGAUACCAGGGUUGAGGAGACACCACUAUGAUCAAUUGAUGAGCUUGUUGCAACAGACCAAGUUAGGGGAUUCGAGUGAUCAAGCUCCUCCUCCCAUGUGUGCUGCUAAUUUUGCUGGUACUAUGUUGACUGAGAGUNNN